rnacentral:rRNA from 1 species
AGGAUGAACGCUGGCGGCGUGCCUAAUACAUGCAAGUCGAGCGAACAGACGAGGASCUUGCUCCUCUGACGUUAGCGGCGGACGGGUGAGUAACACGUGGAUAACCUACCUAUAAGACUGGGAUAACUUCGGGAAACCGGAGCUAAUACCGGAUAAUAUAUUGAACCGCAUGGUUCAAUAGUGAAAGACGGUUUUGCUGUCACUUAUAGAUGGAUCCGCGCCGCAUUAGCUAGUUGGUAAGGUAACGGCUUACCAAGGCAACGAUGCGUAGCCGACCUGAGAGGGUGAUCGGCCACACUGGAACUGAGACACGGUCCAGACUCCUACGGGAGGCAGCAGUAGGGAAUCUUCCGCAAUGGGCGAAAGCCUGACGGAGCAACGCCGCGUGAGUGAUGAAGGUCUUCGGAUCGUAAAACUCUGUUAUUAGGGAAGAACAAAUGUGUAAGUAACUAUGCACGUCUUGACGGUACCUAAUCAGAAAGCCACGGCUAACUACGUGCCAGCAGCCGCGGUAAUACGUAGGUGGCAAGCGUUAUCCGGAAUUAUUGGGCGUAAAGCGCGCGUAGGCGGUUUUUUAAGUCUGAUGUGAAAGCCCACGGCUCAACCGUGGAGGGUCAUUGGAAACUGGAAAACUUGAGUGCAGAAGAGGAAAGUGGAAUUCCAUGUGUAGCGGUGAAAUGCGCAGAGAUAUGGAGGAACACCAGUGGCGAAGGCGACUUUCUGGUCUGUAACUGACGCUG